rnacentral:rRNA from 1 species
GAUGAACGCUGGCGGCGCGCCUAAUACAUGCAAGUCGAGCGAAUGGAUUAAGAGCUUGCUCUUAUGAAGUUAGCGGCGGACGGGUGAGUAACACGUGGGUAACCUGCCCAUAAGACUGGGAUAACCCCGGGAAACCGGGGCUAAUACCGGAUAACAUUUUGAACCGCAUGGUUCGAAAUUGAAAGGCGGCUUCGGCUGUCACUUAUGGAUGGACCCGCGUCGCAUUAGCUAGUUGGUGAGGUAACGGCUCACCAAGGCAACGAUGCGUAGCCGACCUGAGAGGGUGAUCGGCCACACUGGGACUGAAACACGGCCCAGACUCCUACGGGAGGCAGCAGUAGGGAAUCUUCCGCAAUGGACGAAAGUCUGACGGAGCAACGCCGCGUGAGUGAUGAAGGCUUUCGGGUCGUAAAACUCUGUUGUUAGGGAAGAACAAGUGCUAGUUGAAUAAGCUGGCACCUUGACGGUACCUAACCAGAAAGCCACGGCUAACUACGUGCCAGCCGCCGCGGUAA